UAGGGAAUAUUGCACAAUGGGGGAAACCCUGAUGCAGCGACGCCGCGUGAGUGAUGAAGGCCUUCGGGUCGUAAAGCUCUGUCGUAUGGGACUAACAAAAUGAAGGUACCAUGCAAGAAAGGAUCGGCUAACUUCGUGCCAGCAGCCGCGGUAAGACGAGGGAUCCUAGCGUUGUUCGGAAUUAUUGGGCGUAAAGCGGGUGUAGGCGGACUUAUAAGUCAGGUGUGAAAUCCCAGGGCUCAACCCUGGAAGUGCACUUGAUACUGCAAGUCUUGAGUGUGGUAGAGGCUAUUAGAAUUCCUGGUGUAGUGGUGAAAUACGUAGAUAUCAGGAGGAAUACCGGAGGCGAAGGCGGAUAGCUGGGCCAACACUGACGCUGAGACCCGAAAGCGUGGGGAUCAAACAGGAUUAGAUACCCCUGUAGUCCCUGAGCGGGCUGGCAAGGCGCAU
rnacentral:rRNA from 1 species